rnacentral:rRNA from 1 species
AUGGAGCUGCCGCUGUCUGCGCCGCGCGCGCAUGCCGCCGCUGCCUUCCCCUGCAGCCCCACUUCUAUCUUCCGCCUCCAUGGGGCAGCCACUCCCCGCAGCCGCGCGCGCCCUCUGCACGCCCGCAGGAACAAGAACUCCAGGGGCGACGCAGCGGAGCCCAAAGUCAUCACCAUCGGCCGGCCCGGUAAGAAGAGCAAGCGGCGCGGCGACAAGAAGCAGGAUCAGCAGCAGCUCCCCGCGGACCAAGAAGCUGAAGACGAGGAGGAGGAGGAUGAGGAGGACGAGAGGGACGUGGCGAUCCCGGAGGUGGUGACGAACCGGAUGAUGCGGCGGGUGGGGGCGUCGGUGGGGCUCCCGCUGGCGCUGGGGCUGGCCUUCUUCCCGGCGUUCUACUACCUGAAGAAGGUGGCGAAGGUGGACGUGCCGAGCUUCAUCCCCUACGGCCUGUCCUUCGUCUUCUUCGGGGCGGCGCUGGCCGGCGUGAGCUACGGCAUCGUGUCCGCCAGCUGGGACCCCGCCAGGGAGGGCUCCCUGCUCGGCUGGAACGAGGCCCGCCGCAACUUGCCCGUCUUCUGGGAGUCCUUCCGGGGCACCCCUCCUCCGAGCCCUCCUCGCCGGGGACGAUGA